CCAAAUAUAAAACUCAAGAGAAGCACAACAAGAGAUGACUUCACGUAUGAUAAUAUCUGCAAUCUCUUCUUAAGAUAUGAAAGAGACUAUGAUUAAUACAAACCCAUCAGAAUUAUAUAGUAACACUUCCAUCUCCAUGACACCACCUGUUGAUCCCAUGAAUCUUUUUUGGAAGAGUUCCCUGAACCAUUCCAAAGGAAAGGAAGCUUGCCAAUUAAAGGGGACAUAACCUAUUUCUCCAGGGGGGAUGGAGUAUUAAGUGAGGAAAAAAUCUUUGAGCAGACUGAGGAAGCGUCAGAGAGAAUCAAGCUCAACUAAGUCUCAAAACAGCUCAUUUUUAUCAGGUAAGAUUUUCUAGAGA